rnacentral:rRNA from 1 species
UACGUAGGGUGCGAGCGUUAAUCGGAAUUACUGGGCGUAAAGCGUGCGCAGGCGGUUAUUUAAGUCAGGUGUGAAAGCCCUGGGCUUAACCUAGGAAUUGCGCUUGAGACUGGAUAGCUUGGAGUGCGGCAGAGGGAGGUGGAAUUCCACAUGUAGCAGUGAAAUGCGUAGAGAUGUGGAGGAACACCGAUGGCGAAGGCAGCCUCCUGGGCCAGCACUGACGCUCAUGCACGAAAGCGUGGGGAGCAAACAGG